rnacentral:misc_RNA from 1 species
CUCGUCGUCGUCCUUUCACUUGCUCUCUUCUGCUACCAUUCAACAUCCCCUCAUUGUGGUCAAGAAGAGCGCGCCGAGUCGGUGCGGGCUUCGCAGACACGACAGCGGGGUGGAACUCCUUGAAGCUCUCCCCUUAGCAGGUUUUCUGUACGCGAAAGUCAGCAUACACGUCACGGAUAUACGAAAGAGAAGAUGCCGCGCGUGUCUGUUUUCUUGUCCUACGCGGACUCCUUCGUCGGCACGCGUCUGCUGCGUCAGUUCCAGCAGUACCCGUCGCACUACGACAUCUACGGCUGCAUGUGGGAUGCGGCCGCCGCAGAGCAGCUCAACGCCGCUGCGUCGGCUGCCCAGCAGCAACCGCAGCAGCCAGCGGCGAAGACACGUGUCGGUGGUGUGGCCGAGGAAGACAACAGCGUCUUGGAGGAGAGCUACACUUCCCUGGUGCCCUGCGUUAGUGCCCGUGCCCAAACGGCUUUGCCGCUGGAGGGGUCUGGGCCAUUUGAAGCGGAGGAUAGCCACCCGACUGCAGGCGUGGAUGGUACCGAUGGCAGCGAAAAGCCGUUAAAGUCGCAUGCGUCCUGCACCUUUUUCUCACGCCUUGACACAUUGGCCGUGCGUAGCGCGCUGCUCGCGUGCGACUGGAUCGUGCUAGAGCUGCACCAGGCUCAAACAGUGCUAGAGGUGGUGCAGUUCCUGCAGAUGCAGCCCUCCUUUGAGCGACCGAAGCGUCUGGUCCUGCUUUCCAGCCUCAUGACGUGGUACGCCACUCCGUCGCUGGGGGAAGGGGAAGUUGCCGCUGGCGACGGAAACGACGAGGACGAUAGCCCUGCCGCUGAUGGCGAGGAGGACGUCGAAGCGCCGUACCCCCCGCCUCCACCGCGUUUCCUGGAGAGCAUUCUCGCUGAGGCGCAGGACCGAUCCCGGCACGCUGUAGUGGACGCGAUGCGCGGCGACGAGAGCGCAGCCAAGGGUGAGGACAACAGCGGCGGCGAUGGAGAGGACGAAGACAGGGAGGACGGCGGUGACGCCGUCGCCUCGGGUGCGAGGGCAGAGGUGUUGACGGAGGAUCAGUACAACCGUCGUGUACCGCAUCUGCGCUAUUUGAACUGGCGCGAUGCCGAGAGGGCCGUCGCAGCAGCGCAUCACGCGAACGGCCUGCCGCUGGACACCUUUGUCAUUUGCGGAGGCCUCACCUACGGAGGCGAGGAGGACGUACUCGAACCUCUCUUCCGCCUAGCGUGGUCUGCCGAGCCAGAGAAGAAGGAGAACGAGCACGCGGCGACCUCGGCAACGCUGCCGAUCUUCGGCAGCGGCCACCAGCGCGUGCCGAUCGUGCACGUGCAGGAUCUUGCCUGCUUUGUGCGCAAACUGCUCCGGUGCCCUGCUGACGCCCUGCCGUUCCCCGAGCGGCGCUACCUCUUCGCCACGGACGGGAGCAACCAGAACUCUUGGCAGAGCAUCGUCUCCGCCGUGAACCGCAUGUUUGGUGGGCGGUGCGCGAUGCACCCCGUCGCGCCAGAAUCGUACCCGCUCUACCGCGACGUGGAGCGCUUCACGAUUGACCUGCGUGUCGAGCCGGAGACGAUGCGGAUCAUCAUGGCACGCACCGAGGAUGCCGAGGAAGGGGCCGAGUCGAGCGAUGCGGUCGCCUCCGCGCAGCAGCAGUUGCCCCUGCCGAACACAUGGAUUGCAGAGGGCGGCAUCCGUCGCCAUCUUCGUGCUGUCGCAGACGAGUUCACCGCCGCCCGCCACGUCCAACCGCACCGCAUUGCCAUUGUUGGACCGCCGCUGGUCGGAAAGACGUACCUCGCCACGCGUGUGGCGCGCUACUACCGCCUUCCACGCGUGUCCCUGGACUCGGUCGUGCUCGACUACACGGCCGCCUUGAAAGAGCUCCGCUCACGUGUGGAGUCGACGAAGGCCGCGGUGCGAGAAGCUGAGCGGGAACGCCGCCUCGGGCUGAAGCGGCGCCGUCUGCUGGCGCGGCAGCAACGUGAGUGGGAUGCCCAGGCCGAACGUCUCGAUGCCUCCUUAGCAGGUGCUCGGGAAGGAGUGGGGUCACCGGGCGACAACGAGCAGGAUUCGGUUGAAGCCGCUGACCUGGCGAGUCACGGCAGCUACCGCCCUGGCAGCAGUGCCAAUCGCGCAAAUAACUACAGCGGGCCAGGAGAAGCGCCGACAGGAGCCGGUGCGGACGCCUGCGUGGCGACGAUGGCGGUCCACGACGACGAUGAGGCCGUUGCAACCGAGCUGGCCCUCACCCAGGCGGAGGAGGAGGAGCUCGACAUGUUCGUGUUGGAGUGGUGGGCCGAGCAGCCGCAAGCGCAUGCGUGGAUCAGCAAGAUUGCGGAGAUGGAACGCGUGCUGCUGCUUCGGCUGCACCAACGACCGCCGACGCCUGAGGUGAACCCAAAAAAGAAAGCCGCCACCGCGGGUGGCGGUGGCGCCAACGCGAAGAAAAAAGGCAACAAGGAUGCGCAGAAGACGCGAGAGGAGGAAGAGGAGCAGCAGCAGCUCAAAGCUGCUCUGCAGCAUGCGCCGUUCCAGCCCCGCGCCCUCGCUCUCAUGCUGCGCUGGCGCCUUGCCCAGCCAGAUUGUCGGGUGCAGGGAUUCGUGCUGGAUGGGGUGCCGACGACGUUGGAGUUGGCGCGGCUCGUGUUCGGCGACGACGAGGAUGACCAGCUCCAGCCGCCGCUGACAGAGGAAGAGGCGCUCCGGCCACGCUACGCCAACGAAGGCGGCGCCCCUGCGACCGCUGCAUCUGGUGCUGCGGGCGACGGCCACGACGACAAAGAAGCCGGCGCCGCGGAGGCGGCUCCGGCAAAGGAGCCGGCGAGCGAUGCCCGGCUGCCAAACCACGUCAUUGUGCUUCAAGCGUCCGACGCGUACCUGCUGAGCCGCCUUAAGGCGAUGGGUGCGGCGUCGGAGGAGGGCGCGGUGAACGCCUGCGGCAACGACGAUGCCACACGCAACGUCGACGUGGAAGCCUUCUACCACGCUCUCCAGACGUACAAGCGAGAGUACGUUGACAUGCCGUAUUCGGUGCUCAGUUACUGGGAGUGUGCGGCUGCCACCACCGCGCCGCUGCUGAGCACUGGCAGCGCGACGGGCGAGGAGCGCCGCGCCGAGGUGCACUUGGUGGCCAUCGAAGGCAACGAGCCUCUUGUGCCACCUUUGCCGCCCAUGUCCGCAUACGCACCGCCGCAGCUCAGCAGCACGGAGAAGCUGCUCGAGCAAGUUAUUCUCGGAUGCCCUCACAACUUUGGCAAGAGCCUGGAGGAGAUCCAGCGCGAGGCCGUGCGCCAGCGCUGUCUGCUGGCUGAGGAGGAGGACGCCCGCGCUCAGCAGAUAGCGGCCCAGGCGGCUGCCGAAUCCCUGGAGUGCGCGCAGGAGUCUGAAGCCCGCUCAGUAGCCGAGGAGAGACUUCUAGCGCUUAAGCAGGCUGACGUGGCGGAGCUGGAAGCGCGCAAGCGGCCCAUGACAAACUACCUGCAGGAGCGCGUGUUGCCCCUCCUGCACAAGGGUCUUUUGGAGGUGUGUGCAACGCGACCAGCAGACCCGGUGGAUUACCUGGCGGAGUGGCUCAUUCAUCACAACCCACACGACGAUAUCUUCUGUGAUCUGUGAAGCCUCUGUUGCGGGCGUCCAUGACGCGUUUUUGUGUGCUCUUUAUUCACUUUACGUUCGCCCGUUUACUGAGAUGGCGGCGUUUGCGCCACGGCGGGUGCUGCUGCUGCGAUGGCGGAUGCGCUUGAUGAUCCGCCUCCACGGAUGUACAAAGAGUGGGCGUGUGGGCGGGCGUGCGCGAUGUGUAAGUGGUUUUUGUUCGAUGUCUCUCUCUCUCUCUCUCGCCGCCUCUUUCCGAUGUACACGUAGACGUACUUGCCGUUUCUUUUUUUUUCUUACAUGCCCUUUACUUGGGAGAGGGUGGGGUGGGGAAGGGGCGCUUGGUUUGGUUUGCUCCUCUCGCCCCAUUUCGGUUGCUGUCGAUGUCUCGAAAAUAAAAUGCGGUGCGUGGUGGCAAGGUGAGAAGCGGCAUAGCGAAGACAAAGAAAAGAGAAAGGUCGGCGUGCUUGUAUCACGCUGUCGAGAAGAGAAACAGCACAGAUGCGUCUGAGCGUCUCUUCUUCCGACUUUCCCACCACCCACAACCCUCCCUUCCUCCCUCCUCUUCUUCGUUCGUUGUUGUUAUUCCCUCCCUGUUGUUGCAUGCCACUCUUGAUCAGCGGUCUCUCGUGUCCCUCCUCUGAGCAAUGCCCUCACCCCUCCCCCAUCGACACAUCAACACGGGUGUGCAUCCGAUUCCCGCAGACGCAGCACAAAAACAAAACGGAUGCCUGUUUCUCCUUUCAUCGUUGCUCGCAUGUCAGCACAGCGCGCGCGUACCUCAGCAGAAACAGGAAGCGACUUUGAUAUGCGUCGGUGUGGGUGUGUGCAUCUCUUUUUUCUUGUUGCGAGUGUGACCAGGCGUCGCAGACGAUUCUGCGCCCCCCUCCCUCUCCCUUCACACAGCCUGCAUGGUUCACGCGCUCAUAAAUGUACAGCUCCAACUCGCUCGCUUUCUCCCUCCGGCUUUAUUGGUUUUGCGCACGUGCGCCUCGCCAGCCGCUGCCGUCUUUUGUUGCCUCUA